rnacentral:lncRNA from 1 species
UUUGAGAUUGAUGACUUUGAUUUAGCCUUUGUUUUGAGCAUUGAUUAUUGAUGACUAAAUUCAUCCUUUGUUCAAAUACUUUGACAUUGUUUUAUUUCGAGCACUUUAUCUUAAAUAGUGAAUGGAUUCACCCUUUCAUUUGGCAACGAACAUUUGAAUAUUUAGAAAUAUAAAACAACAUGUUUUAAGGGAGCCUACUUGAGUUUUGGACCUGUGGCUAGUGACGGUAGACAAUAGCCAUUGUGCACAAUGCUUAGCUUUGAUUGGGUAGUUAAUAGAGUCCUACCCCCUUUGAUUUGGUUUCAUUUGGUAGUUGCUACUGUCACGACUCAAAACUCCCAUCGAGCCCAUGCCAACCGCCGCGACUUCCUAUUAGACAUUCAUUGCCC